rnacentral:rRNA from 1 species
UGGGGAAUAUUGCACAAUGGGGGAAACCCUGAUGCAGCGACGCAGCGUGCGGGAUGACGGCCUUCGGGUUGUAAACCGCUUUCAGCAGGGAAGAAGCCACCUUCGGGUGGUGACGGUACCUGCAGAAGAAGUACCGGCUAACUACGUGCCAGCAGCCGCGGUAAUACGUAGGGUACAAGCGUUGUCCGGAAUUAUUGGGCGUAAAGAGCUCGUAGGUGGUUGGUCACGUCUGCUGUGGAAACGCAACGCUUAACGUUGCGCGUGCAGUGGGUACGGGCUGACUAGAGUGCAGUAGGGGAGUCUGGAAUUCCUGGUGUAGCGGUGAAAUGCGCAGAUAUCAGGAGGAACACCGGUGGCGAAGGCGGGACUCUGGGCUGUAACUGACACUGAGGAGCGAAAGCAUGGGGAGCGAACA